rnacentral:tRNA from 1 species
GGGAAGAUAACUCAUUUGGUAGAGUGCCUGUGUGAAAUACAGGAGGUGACUGGUUCAAGUCCAGUUCUUCCCACCA